rnacentral:rRNA from 1 species
AGGGAAUCUUCGGCAAUGGGGGCAACCCUGACCGAGCAACGCCGCGUGAGUGAAGAAGGUUUUCGGAUCGUAAAGCUCUGUUGUAAGUCAAGAACGGGUGUGAGAGUGGAAAGUUCACACUGUGACGGUAGCUUACCAGAAAGGGACGGCUAACUACGUGCCAGCAGCCGCGGUAAUACGUAGGUCCCGAGCGUUGUCCGGAUUUAUUGGGCGUAAAGCGAGCGCAGGUGGUUUGAUAAGUCUGAAGUUAAAGGCUGUGGC